CGCGGAAGAUGUAACGGGGCUAAACCAUGCACCGAAGCUGCGGCAGCGAACGUAUCACUUAAAGCGAUUCAGCGGGUUACGAUUGACGGAGCGAAGCGACGUCAAAGCGUAUACAAAGUCGAGUCGGUUUAAGGAUACGUUCGUUGGGUAGGGGAGCGUUCUGUAAGCCUGCGAAGGUGGCCUGUGAGGGUUGCUGGAGGUAUCAGAAGUGCGAAUGCUGACAUAAGUAACGAUAAAGCGGGUGAAAAGCCCGCUCGCCGGAAGACCAAGGGUUCCUGUCCAACGUUAAUCGGGGCAGGGUGAGUCGACCCCUAAGGCGAGGCCGAAAGGCGUAGUCGAUGGGAAACGGGUUAAUAUUCCCGUACUUGGUGUUACUGCGAAGGGGGGACGGAGAAGGCUAUGUUGGCCGGGCGACGGUUUUCCCGGUUUAAGCGUGUAGGCUGGUUUUCCAGGCAAAUCCGGAAAAUCAAGGCUGAGGCGUGACGACGAGGCACUACGGUGCUGAAGCAACAAAUGCCCUGCUUCCAGGAAAAGCCUCUAAGCAUCAGGUAACACGAAAUCGUACCCCAAACCGACACAGGUGGUCAGGUAGAGAAUACCAAGGCGCUUGAGAGAACUCGGGUGAAGGAACUAGGCAAAAUGGUGCCGUAACUUCGGGAGAAGGCACGCUGACACGUAGGUGAAGUGAUUUACUCAUGGAGCUGAAGUCAGUCGAAGAUACCAGCUGGCUGCAACUGUUUAUUAAAAACACAGCACUGUGCAAACACGAAAGUGGACGUAUACGGUGUGACGCCUGCCCGGUGCCGGAAGGUUAAUUGAUGGGGUCAGCGCAAGCGAAGCUCCUGAUCGAAGCCCCGGUAAACGGCGGCCGUAACUAUAACGGUCCUAAGGUAGCGAAAUUCCUUGUCGGGUAAGUUCCGACCUGCACGAAUGGCGUAAUGAUGGCCAGGCUGUCUCCACCCGAGACUCAGUGAAAUUGAACUCGCUGUGAAGAUGCAGUGUACCCGCGGCAAGACGGAAAGACCCCGUGAACCUUUACUAUAGCUUGACACUGAACAUUGAGCCUUGAUGUGUAGGAUAGGUGGGAGGCUUUGAAGCGUGGACGCCAGUCUGCGUGGAGCCGACCUUGAAAUACCACCCUUUAAUGUUUGAUGUUCUAACGUGGACC
rnacentral:rRNA from 1 species